rnacentral:lncRNA from 1 species
CGGAUACCAUAAUCUCAAAAUCAAGGUUUCUACAGAUCCAUGUUCACUGUGAAGCCUCUGUAGAAUAAACUUUCUUGGCUCUUCCUAGCUUCUGGUGGUAGUUGACAAAUUCUCAGUGUUCCUUGGCUUGGAGGUGUGUCAUUUCAAUCUCUACCAGAAUCAUCAAAUGGUUUUCACCCCUGUGUCUUUGUUGGGACUCCCCCACUGCUGGAAAAAGGACCCACCACAAACCACAUACGUGGAAAGUGGCAUCUUUUUUAUGAAUCCACCAACUUCUUAUUCAGAAGAUUAACUUGGGUAGGAAGAAUCAAUAUCGUGAAAAUGGCCAUAUUGCCCAAGGUAAUUUACAGAUUCAAUGCCAUCCCCAUCAAGCUACCAAUGACUUUCUUCACAGAAUUGGAAAAAACUACUUUAAAGUUCAUAUGGAACCAAAAAAGAGCCCGCAUCACCAAGUCAAUCCUAAGCCAAAAGAACAAAGCUGGAGGCAUCAUGCUACCUGACUUCAAACUACACUACAAGGCUACAGUAACCAAAAC